rnacentral:rRNA from 1 species
UACGUAGGGUGCAAGCGUUGUCCGGAAUUAUUGGGCGUAAAGAGCUCGUAGGCGGUUUGUUGCGUCGGCUGUGAAAUCCCGAGGCUCAACCUCGGGUCUGCAGUCGAUACGAGCAAACUAGAGUGUUGCAGGGGAGACUGGAAUUCCUGGUGUAGCGGUGAAAUGCGUAGAGAUCCGGAGGAACACCAGAGGCGAAGGCGGCCUGCUGGGCUGCACCUGACGCUGAACCGCGAAAGCCAGGGGAGCAAACAGG